rnacentral:lncRNA from 1 species
UUGUAGUACCCACCACCUCCUGAGGGAGGAUUUGAUGGUGUUGAAGGGGUUGAUGGUGUCGUCGGGACUGAGGGCGUUGGAGUAGAGGGUUCUUGUGGUGGAGUUCCACAAUUGCUACCAUCAGGUGGCGAUGGGGUUGGAUUGUAACUUCCACCACCCUCAGGUGGCGAUGGGGUUGGAUCAUAGCUUCCACCACCUGGGGGAGUUGAUGGGGUUGGAUUGUAAUAUCCACCACCUGAGGGUGGUGAUGGGUUUGGGUCAUAACUUCCACCACCAGGGGGAGUUGAUGGAGUUGGAUUGUAACUUCCACCAUCAGGGGGAGUUGAUGGGGUUGGAUUGUAACUUCCACCAUCAGGGGGAGUUGAUGGGGUUGGAUUGUAACUUCCACUUCCACCACCGUCUGAGGGUGGUGAUGGGGUUGGGUCAUAGCUUCCACCACCUGGAGGAGUUGAUGGAGUUGGAUUGUAACUUCC